AUUGAACGCUGGCGGAAUGCUUUACACAUGCAAGUCGAACGGCAGCACGGGGCAACCUGGUGGCGAGUGGCGAACGGGUGAGUAAUACAUCGGAACGUGCCCAAUCGUGGGGGAUAACGUAGCGAAAGUUACGCUAAUACCGCAUACGAUCUACGGAUGAAAGCGGGGGAUCGCAAGACCUCGCGCGAAUGGAGCGGCCGAUGUCAGAUUAGGUAGUUGGUGGGGGUAAAGGCUCACCAAGCCGACGAUCUGUAGCUGGUCUGAGAGGACGACCAGCCACACUGGGACUGAGACACGGCCCAGACUCCUACGGGAGGCAGCAGUGGGGAAUUUUUGGGACAAUGGGCGCAAGCCUGAUCCAGCCAUUCCGCGUGCAGG
rnacentral:rRNA from 1 species